rnacentral:rRNA from 1 species
UUAAAAAGCUCGUAGUUGGAUUCUGCUGAGGACGACCGGUCCGCCCACUGGGUGUGCAUCUGGCUCGGCCUUGGCAUCUUCUUGGAGAACGUAUCUGCACUUCAUUGUGUGGUGCGGUAACCAGGACCUUUACUUUGAGGAAAUUAGAGUGUUUCAAGCAGGCGUGCGCCUUGAAUACAUUAGCAUGGAAUAAUAAGAUAGGACCUUAGUUCUAUUUUGUUGGUUUCUAGAGCUGGGGUAAAGAUUAAUAGGGAUAGUUGGGGGCAUUCGUAUUUAACUGUCAGAGGUGAAAUUCUUGGAUUUGUUAAAGACGGACUACUGCGAAAAGCAUUUGCCAAGGAUGUUUUCAUUGAUCAAGAACGA